UACAGAGGGUGCGAGCGUUAAUCGGAAUUACUGGGCGUAAAGCGCGCGUAGGCGGCUUUGCAAGUCGGGUGUGAAAUCCCCAGGCUUAACCUGGGAACUGCAUUCGAGACUGCAUUGCUAGAGUAUGGGAGAGGGAAGUGGAAUUUCCGGGUGUAGCGGUGAAAUGCGUAGAUAUCGGAAGGAACAUCAGUGGCGAAAGCGACUUCCUGGACCAAUACUGACGCUCAUGUGCGAAAGCGUGGGGAGCAAACAGG
rnacentral:rRNA from 1 species